CCGCCAGUUGCUCAAGGCGGGCGUGCUGC
rnacentral:sRNA from 1 species